CCUACGGGUGGCAGCAGUGAGGAAUAUUGGUCAAUGGGCGAGAGCCUGAACCAGCCAAGUCGCGUGAAGGAUGACGGCCCUACGGGUUGUAAACUUCUUUUGUCAGGGAGCAAUUGGGUCCACGCGUGGGCUUAGCGAGAUUACCUGAAGAAAAAGCAUCGGCUAACUCCGUGCCAGCAGCCGCGGUAAUACGGAGGGGGCAAGCGUUAUCCGGAUUUACUGGGUGUAAAGGGAGCGGAGACGGCAGCACAAGCCUGGAGUGAAAUCCCGGGGCUUAACCCCGGAACUGCUUUGGAAACUGAGCGGCUGGAGUGCAGGAGAGGUAAGCGGAAUUCCUGGUGUAGCGGUGAAAUGCGUAGAUAUUAGGAGGAACACCGGUGGCGAAGGCGGCUUACUGGACUGUAACUGACGUUGAGGCUCGAAAGCGUGGGGAGCAAACAGGAUUAGAUACCCCAGUAGUC
rnacentral:rRNA from 1 species